GUUAUAUGGGUCAUUUUUGAAUUUCUGUCAAUUCCAUUAGGUCUGAAAUGCUAUUUAUGACUUAGUCGAGUCAUUGAUUUGACUCUCGAGGCGUUCUUUUAUGUUUUGGGUCAUUGGGUGAAAAUAUAGGAUUUUUAUGUUUUGGAGUUCACCUUGGUCAACACCGGGUUAAGGUAAUCCUUUUUGGAAAUUCUGAGCGCGCGAGCAAGUUCGUACUGUCAUUUAUACUCAGUUUCCAAGUUUGGUUUGUGUUCAUGAGUAGCCAAAUGAGUUUUGGGUGUUGGAUCGGAAGUUUUAAAGUUCUUGCAUUUUCUGCUUCUGGUGUAGCCGCACCUUCGUAAAUGGGUCCGCAAGUGAGAGACUAGGUGAGGUCGGUUAGGGCGGUACCUGCGAAGUUAUGUCCGCAGGUGUGUGGCUGCUCCUGCGUGGUCUCCCUCACACCUGUGCUUGGGAAAAUAUCUAGUUGUUUCCACAUCUGCGGAACAUUCGAUAAUUCAAAGGCUAGACUCAAGUUUCUCCAUACGUAAUGGCUUCAGAAGCAUGGUCCAUUUGAUGCUGUGAUGGUGCAAAUGUCGGCCUUAUCAUUCAACGGAAUUUUAAUUUCUCUCAGCUCAGGUUUGUUGUCAAUAAAUUAAGACAGACGAGUGAAUCAAAGUGGUUAUUUUGCAUAAAGUCGCGCAACUGGUGGUCCUGCUCAACAUCCUAAUAAAGGAAGUUGUUAGAAAGCUGGAAAAAAGCGGGUGCACUUUACUGCGUUUUUCUUAAGCAAGUUCUUCAGAGGUAGAAACAGAGAAAACUCAUAUGCAAACAUGUUGGUUUAUCAGGAUCUUCUCUCCGAUGAUGAGCUCCUUUUAGAUCAUUUCCUUAUACAAAACUUGAGAAUGGAGUGCCCUCAGAAGUACAAGGAAAUAGGGUCGUUUGGGGAGCCAUUGAUGUAAAUAUCGGGGGGAAAAUCCAUCUGCUGAAGUUGCAGAUGAAGACGAAGGUGCUGAUGAUCAAGCUGUCAAGGUUUAUUGAUAUUGCUGGAGAUGUUUCCAUUAAUACUAGUUAUCUAAAUUUCGAUUUUGUACUGCAAUCUUAUAUAGCAGCAUGGAUUUGUGAUAUUUAUGUGGAUUGAAAGAAGAAUCAACACAUGUACUUAAGAUGUUAGCCAAUUCUUUUUCAUUUGUUACUUUAGUGACUGUUGGACGUUC